rnacentral:rRNA from 1 species
GAACGAGAAAGUCCGCAAGGAUGAGUAAAGUGGCGACCGGGUGAGUAACACGUGACUAACCUGCCCUUGAGUGGGGGAUAACCUCGGGAAACCGGGGCUAAUACCGCAUAACAUCGCAAGAUCAAAGGAGCAAUCCGCUGAAGGAGGGGGUCGCGGCUGAUUAGCUAGUUGGUGAGGUAACGGCCCACCAAGGCGAAGAUCGGUAUCCGGCCUGAGAGGGCGCACGGACACACUGGAACUGAAACACGGUCCAGACUCCUACGGGAGGCAGCAGUGGGGAAUUUUGCGCAAUGGGGGAAACCCUGACGCAGCAACGCCGCGUGGAGGAUGAAGCCCUUUGGGGCGUAAACUCCUUUCGACCAAGACGAUAAUGACGGUACUGGUGGAAGAAGCACCGGCUAACUCUGUG